GUGAGUCAAGUUUUAGUUGUCGGGAGGAGACUCACGCCUCAACCCAUUCCACAAGUUGCUUUGCAACAACUUGUCACGAUUAACGAACAACAAAUAUUUUGUCUCCUCUAUUAGUUCCUUUUCACUUUCACAACAACACUAAUCCACACAAAUCUCCUGGUUAUCCCAGCACAUCAACGCCAUCAUGGCCCUAACAACACCUUGGUGUCGGACGACACCCCAGGUCACACAGACCCGCUCCUAACCACCCAGGUUAGCCGUCUGCCACACAGGCGGACUCUGGCAACGUUACCCUUCCCAAUAACCAUUUCUUCACAAACAUUUGUCAAACAAAUCUACGCUAUGAGAAACACCUUACACUCGCCCUUGACCGUGGGCACGGCUGUUCGAACAGUUCAUUAAUCUCUGCAGAGGUUGCACGCUUUACCCACACGACACGAAACUUACACCGGUACUGGCCGUGACCGGAAGUUCGUGAUAAGGUUUUUCCAAAGCUAACCCAUGAAAAUCGCAUGCCACCUAGUUGGGCUAAGAUCCAUAGCCGAGUAUCAGGCAAUAACAGCCGUCAUCCACUCAGGAAAUAACGAGGAUACCUCCUACUCCUACUGGUACCACGCCACAAUAGAGGCAAAAAGACACCCAUGAUGGGCAAAAUUGUGUAACACUUCGUCUCCUCAUCCUUGGCAUUCCACAACCAUUGGCACACCAACUCUCAUGUGAAAACAAUUUACUAAGCCAGAGGCAUCCCAUAAAUACCCUUGUGGUCGCACUGUAACGUGUUCGGAUGGAUUUCCCAAAGGAAUCGGUCCUUAACGAUAAUACGUAGCCAAACCACAAAGGCAUGACUCCGCAUCAUCACCACUUUCACAACACAUUUUAUUUCACAACUCCUCGGUACAACGUACCGGAUUUUUAAACAUGUAAUUUGGAAUAACCCAAGUUUCCCACACGGCAACAACGUAAGCAUGGCUAAGCGAAACUACCUCGGUAAUCGUAUAACGAUACCGGCGCAAAUAUUUGUGGAGCUAUCAAAGGUAUGGAAACAUCAACCUAUGAAAUAUAAGUGCAACUACUAGGUUGGUCCGUCGGUUGUAUAAACAAUCCGAGGCCUAAACAUGUUAAUCGUGUGAACUAAACAAUGCAUCUUUGCAAACAACAUAUCAUUGAAAAUAUAUAGGGGCAAUGUGAUCAAAGGUGCUUGCCUUGCACAGGGUUGGGGUCUUCUCCUUCGAAAGCGGCGUCCGGAGCUUCUUCGAACUCGGGCUCUUAACGCGAAAACAAAGCUAAUAAACAAAAGGCAAUAAAACAAGCUCAAACCAGAGAAACAAUAGUACCACCAUGUAGAUCUCAAUUUUAGAAAAAUUUAGGAACUUGAACGGGGUCAAUCGGAGUUACGGUUGAUGUACUAUGAAUUUUCAAAGAAUAAAGGAUUUUCUGGGAUUUAUUUAUUCGACGGCAAGGGAAUAUUCCGUUGGAAUAUUCCGCUAGGGUUGACGGCAGAGUUGGGGCCCACCUGUCAGCGAAUGAUUGGAGGGAAAAAGGUGCGGGCCCGUUUGUCAGCAGCUAUUGGAGGGGAGGGGAUGUGGGACCCGGCUGUCAGCGGCUCGGGUCUCCUUCUUCUUCUUCCUCCUCGCUCCUGGUCGACCCGGCUCGGUGCAGCACGACGACGUGCCGCGGCGGCAGGACGCGGCGAGGCGACCGGCGGCCGAGGACGGUGGCGGCGGACUCCGGCGAGGCUCCGCCGGCGACGGCGGCGCUAGGAGGCGCAGGGCCGGCUUGGCUUCGUCCUCGUUCCUCCUCUCGCUCUGCUCGACCCGGGACUGGAGCGCCGAGGUGUCGCGGCGGCGGGGCGCGGCCUGACGACUGGCGGCAGAGGGAGGCGGCGGCGUCCUCUGGCGAAGCUCCGCCGGCUACAGCGGCGUCGGGAGAAGGGCGCGGCGGCUCUGGCUGGUGGCAACAGAGAGGAGAACGAGAGAGAGUGAGAGAGGAAAGAGAGAUGGGUUGGGAUGGCGAGGAAGGGGCUCGGGGUUCCUUUUAUAGGCGGGGCGGCUGGGCGGAAAGCGGCGGCGAGCUGGCAGUCUAUGCGCCGGGAACCCGGGAUAGGUGGCUAGCUUGCUCGGCCGGAUUCUCGGAGAGGAAGGGACGGCGACGCGACGGCUUGGUGUCAUGCACCGGUGGCGACUCGACGGCAAAACGACACAAAGGGACGUGCAGAGAGCGGGAACGGCGGCGGAACAUGGGUGACGCACGGCCGACGACGGCUAUGGCCGGGAUUUGGGGCGGUAGGAUUCUCAGAUCGAUGCGACGCGAGCGACGUCACACGGUGGUGGCGAUGGAACGCGAGAGAGAGGGAGGCGCGAGCUCGGCGGCUUCCCGGGAGGAGACGGCGACAAGACGACGAGGCGACGGCGAAGGGACGCGCGUCCGCGGAUGUGGGGCGGCGACGCGAUGGCCAAGGUGACGGCGUGAGGCGACGGGAGCGGCGUCAUGCGGCGGUGGCGACAAGACGUGAGAGAAAGAGAGAGAGAGAGACGCAGCUCGGAGGCUAAGCUCCUUCCUCACGAAGCAAAGGGAACGGAUAAUGGUAGACCGAGGGUGACUCGGCCUAGGGCUAGGGGUGAUGGAGGACGAGGUGGCGGCCGUUAUCCGUUGGCGUCGACACGACGGGCGACGGGAUGGCGAGGUGAUGCCCGCGACAUCGGACGGACGGCGACGGGACAGGGGAUGACGAGGGGUGGCGUGGCUCCGUGUCUCCCGGAGAGAAACCGGAGCGAGGUCGGGCUUGGCGCGGCGCGGGCGUCGGUUUGGUGCGGGGAAAGGUGCGGCGCGGGUGUUGGCACGACGCGUAGCACACGGGAGAGUGGCUCGGUGCAACACACGGCUCGGCACGACUCGGCGCCCGGGUGAAACAUUCCAUCGAACACCUUGUGUGCGUGCACGUGGCUGGCUCAAGGUAGGAGAAGAACAGUACUGGGCAGAGUUGGGCCGGCCUGUUCGUGAGGAGAGGAGAGGAAGGGGUGGAGGGGAGUUGGGCCUGGGAGAGAAAAGAGAGAAGGAGGCCCAAUUCGAACAGUGAGCUUUCACAAUUUUCCGGAGAUUUAUAGAGUUUGAAUUUUUGAGAAGAUUUCAAAGGAUUUGAAUUUGAAUUUGACCUAGGGUUUCAUGGGAUCUUAAAGGCAAUUCUAAGAGAGGAUUUGAGAUCUAUUUGGCACAAAAACAAUUAAGAACCAAAUUAACUCCAAAAUUUUAAAUAACAAAUUUUUAAAUAAAAGCAAAUAAAAUACGGGUGCUAUACAAUAGCAGGCUAUUAGCCAGCUAUAAACAUAUUUUAAUGAGAUAAACGAUAAGAGAGAAGAGCAGCGGGCUACAGAUCUAUAGCCAGCUGCAGCACGGACUCCAAGACACACUAUGUGUAUGAUACGUGGGAUCAUAUAUUAAUAGUAUAGUAAGCAACUAUUGUAUGAAUUAGCUAUUAGAUUAGCUAUAGAUAAAUUAGAGCUAGUAGUGGGAUGUACUAUUAGACUUGCUCAUAAUACAUGUGCAUGCAGGGCGGCCGGGCCUUCACACGUACGCAACGUUUCCUUGCAAUGUAAAAAAAAAAAAAAAGAAAAUCUUGUGUGCUUAACCGAUUACCGCGUCGAGACGACGACGAGUGUGGCUGCCGGAAAGACGAAUGAGGUCGCCGCCACGGCCCGGCCGCCGUCGGCCCGAGCAAGGGCGACGACGAAGCUCGCGGAGCAUUGGACACCAGCUGCAUCGGCGGCUGCGUCGUCGUCAUCAUCAUCUCGCGCUGUCUCACCCUGCACGGAAUUAACUGGGCGCGAUCUCGUUUCGUUCGAGCUAGCACUUCACAUGUAUGAUCACCUCGGCUCCAGUGCCCUGCAAUUUAUUGCACGGCAUAUAUGCAUGUGCGUAUAUACCCGGCGCCGCCGACGGCCGACCGCACCGGUACCCCGCACUGGUGUGAAAUUGUUAACUUGCACGUUUCUUUCUCCGGUGAGCUGUGUAGAUUAAUUAUUAACUUUGCACGUCUCUUUAAUUUCUCCGCUGAGUUAUGUUGCGUAAAAUUGUACACCUCCUAGCUGAGUUAUGUUGCAUAAAAUUGUACACCUCCUAUAUAAGAGCAAGUUCAAUAGUAUAUGCUUACUAUAUUAUUAAUAUACGGUCACACCUGUCAUGAAGUCCAUGCUGUAGUUGGCUACAGAUCUGUAGCUCGCUGCUCUUCUCCCUCAUCUUCUAUCUUAUUAAAAUAUGUUUAUACUAUUGUACAUUCUCUAAGUAGUCUUAAUUACUGUUAGGCGCAUCGUACGUCUUUUUUCUCCGCACAAGGAGGUGGACUUUUCUUUUUCUUUUACUUUCUUUUAAAGAAAAACAAAGCGCGCGCACAUGUACCCUAUUUCUGUGAGCUUCUUCGAUAGGUUGGUUGCUAUAUGUUGAGAUUAACGAAGCCAUCAUGAGCUUCUUGUUGUCGAUGGGUACGUUGCGUACCACUUAAAAAAAAUUAGCCGUAAGUGCGAGCACACGUGUCAACUGUAGAAUUUAAAUCCGGAUAGACUGAUUCCACCAUAAAGAGUCUAACCUGUUAAACUACACUUACUUUGACGAAUGGAAAAGGAGUUGGCUACUAAUUAAACUAUAUACAGUAGAAAUACUAUUUUUUUUUCUCUCUACAGAAUUUUCAACCAGACGAAUUCAGCUCCUAACAGUUCAAAGGCUAUCUUUAAUUGAAGAGAUAAUCCAUUCUAUGCCAUUGACAAAGCAUGUAUUCUAAAAUAUACCACUGACAAAGCUCAGUUCUAUAAUAUACCAUCGAACAACUAGUUUUCUUCCUUACAUGUCAUCACCGCUAGUCAACAGUUAGUCAAAUUCCAUUAGGAGGAAGAAAAUGUCCAUUUUACCCCUAGGGUAUCAUGCGUACUCAUGGAUUUCAUUAGUCACGAUCCACUAUAUCUUCUCAUUGAUGAAAAAUAGAAAUCACUUGUCUUUUUGUCAUAUCCAAGAUUAUUUAAUCUCAAUUUUAUCCUAGGGGUAAAAUUGUCAUUUUUUCUCCCUUAACGGCAUAUGACUAACGGUUGACUAACACCGAUGGUAUAUAAGGAAGAAAAUAAGUUGUUCGAAGGUAUAUUGUGCAACUGAGCUUUGUCAAUGGCAUAUCAUAGAACCCGCGCUUCGUCGACGGCAUAGAACUCUUGAAGGAACGUGUGGGAGUAAAUUAACACAUGCAGAAUUGUCACACCCUGAAAAUUCAAAAUUUAUAAAUUGUUGUUUAAAUGGAAUUUUUAGAAAUAAUUUUUUUUUAAAAAAAAAGUCUUGAAGAGAAGAUCUAGUUUUAAUUAAUAAAUUCCAAUAUAAAAUGGGCCCAGAUAAAAUUUCAUUAAAUACUUUGCUUAAUUCUAUAAUUCCUAGAUUUUUCUGGGAUUUAUUUGAGCUAAGGAAGUAUUUUUAAUAAAUGGAAUUGCAUUUAAGAAAUAAUUUAAAUUGAAAAAGGUUUUAAAAAGUCCUCUUUUGGCUUUGGGCCGAAAGUCGGCCCAAAACCCUUCUCUCUCUCCUCGGCCCAGCCGGCCCAGUCCGCAGCCGCAGCCGCCCGCGCGUGCGCGCUGUCGCUGACAGGUGGGUCCCACCUGUCAGGGUCAUCGUCUACCUUCGGCCGCCGCUGCCGAAACCCUAGUUUCGCGCCGCCGCCGUUUCCUUUCCAAAUCCGGCCGUUCCUUUCCUUCUCCGGCCGAAUUGAAAGAGGGGAAAUGAUCCUCGGGAUCUCCUCUACCUUUUCUCCUUUGGAAUCUUCGGCUAAUUCGUUUUGGAAAGAGUUGGAUUCGAGUUCGUCUCGGAUUCGUUCUUCCCGAUCUUUCCUUCGCCGUUGCCGUCGCCGUGGGCCUUCGCCGCCGCCUCCGAGCCCCUUUAAAAGGACCCCCGGUGUCUCCUCUACCCGUCGCCACCCUUGCCUUCGCCUCUAGUCGUCGGAAUCGCUCUAGCGCCGUGUGCCCUAGCUUCGCCGUCGCCGCCGCCGCUCCAGCCGUGCGCCGCCGUCGUUUCAGCCGUCGCCGUCGCUCGGGAAGACCACCGUCGUGCUCGCCAAGUCGUCGCCGUUCUCGUCCGCCCCUUCGCCGUCGCCGGAGAUCACCGGAGCAGCUUCGCCGUCGUCGACCCGAAGGUUCCCGCCGCUUCCUCCUCGUCGCCGUCGCCGUCCGUUGGUCUUCCACCGCCAUUUAGGUCACCGGUGAGUUCGCCGUGUUGUCCUCUACGUCUUGGUGCCCUCCGUUUGCGUCCUAGCGCCGCCGUUCGCCGGCGAGCGUGCGCCGUUCGAGCCGUCUCCUCCGCCGAGCCGCCGCCGCUGUCAGGUGACGUCACCGCUGAUGUCAUCGGGGUCGUCCGCCGUGAGCCGGUCGUGGACCGUUUGAUCUCGGCCGUCCGUUUUGGAUUGGAUCGAUCUCGGCCGUCCGUUCGCGUGAACCGCCGCCCGUGCGCCCGGUCCACCGAAACCCUAGCCGAUGACGCAAUAAAUCCCUUUUUCCUUUUCAAAAAUAAUUCAUUAUUGCGUCAUAAUUCAAUUUAAACCGAUAUAAGUGUUUUAAUCCGAUUUAAUCUUUAAAAAUUCAUAACUAAUUCAUAUUAGCUCCGAUUUAGUUGGUUCAAGUCUCUAAAUUUUUCUAAAAUUGAGAUCUACACAUUAAAAAUAUCCACAUGUACUGUUCAUGCUUGUUUAUGUGCUGUUUUGGUGAUUUUGCUCUUUUCUGCUUAGAUUCAGUCGUUUCCGGAGAGUCCGUUUUCGCAGAAGAAGAGUUUGAAGAGUUCCAAGGCCAGCAAGGCAAGUCACACAGAUCCCAAACAACCCUUUGAGCAUGUUGAUCCUAUUUAAAGCUAUUGUUUCUUUUCAACUAUUGCAUUUAUUUUCGAAUGUCAUUGGGUGAAAUUAACCUAUUGUUUGUUAUAGCCCUUUUGUUCUUGAUUACUUUAUUCCUUGAUACCUUGGGUUAUUAUAAUUUGACUAGUUGAGCUUUAUUUAUAUUGGUUCAACUAGAUAUUAGAUAUAACUGCUUAGCUCUGCUUAGAAACAUUAGCACACUUAUGGGAUAACUAAUGACUCACUAUUAUUUCAUGAUGGCUUAUUGAUAGUUCACGAUGGUCAAUCGUGAUUAGUUAAUUAAUUAAUGUGUCAACUAAAACCUGGUAAUGGUGGGUUGUGAGCACAUGGUUUUGAUGGUCGUGCUCAUGACAAUUAAGGACCGGUUCACGAGUUUCGGUUGUGAAACAUUUAUUGUGCCAACCACAAGCCAGCAUGGGCAACGGCUUUAUCUUUUGUAUAGCAUGGUUCAUUGCGGAGCACCAGACUGAGAAGUGGCGGAGAUAAGCCCACGGGGGUCGCUGGGGAGUCCAUGCCUUGCUUAUAAGGGGGUGAUUAUGAUCCAGGAAGGUGCGCUGCAGUGGAUUGUGUUAUGCGAGGGGUAUUGUCACAACUCCUUUCCGAGAUACCGUGGUGGUAUUGAGGCACAUGGUGACAUGAUGUGGGGUUGUGUCUUGUGGGUACAGUGGUACACCUCUGAUCAGAGUAAAACUAUUUGAAUAGCCGUGCCCGCGGUUAUGGGCGGGUCUAACAAUGUCUUUCGUGAUUAGUCUCACCCCUCUCAUCAUAGUAAAAGAUGCUUAAACUGGUAAUAAUUUGAUUAGCUCCUGGUUUGGAAUGGUACAUUCCUGGUUUGGAUAUAGAACUGUGCAGCCGGGAUGGUUGUUCAGAAUGGUUGGGCCUAUACAACAGGGUAUGUUGUAUAGUGUUGGAUUAAUAUUGAUUAAUUAUUACUUAACCGUUUUAUUAAAUUCUCAAAUGUUUGCUAAAUGCUGCUUUUGCAAAUGAAACCCUAUUAUGCCAUCCUUUGUUAUCCUGUGCACUUGCAUAUUUGCUGCGUGGCUUGCUGAGUAUGUCAUAUACUCACCUUGCAAUCAUUCAUCAGAGGAAGAGUUCUACAAUGAGGCUGAUGGUGUGGAGGAUUAGGUGUAGCCUUGGUCAAGCUGCCUGUGGAGUGGAGCCGUCUGCGCCGUUUAUUUUAUUUUUUUUCCGCUGCUUAGAUUUUUAUUGAUUGAGAGGAACUAUCUACCUCUGUAAUGACAUUUUAUUCGCUUAUUAAUUAGAGUAAUAAUUGUACUCUAUUAUCAAUUUGUUAUUGUGUGCCUCGGCUGAUUCCUGGACGAGGGUUUACACACAUGUAAGCGUUUGGAAUUUUGGAUAGAAAUUCCGGGCGUGACAAGAAUGCUGUUGAUGCGAAAAACACACACUGGCCUGGGAGAUCUGCUUAGCUCCAGUGCAGGUCCAAAGGUUGAUGAGAUGCAGGCGUGCCAGUCAGUUUGAUUCUGCAACUGACAAGAUAUGUAAACAGUAGAUCAAAUAGCCGAUCGGCUGACAAGCCGAUGGAGUAAUUCCAGCCGAUAGCCGAUAAUAGUAGAUGCCGAUACCAACCAAUAGCGAUAGGGUUUAAGCAAUCGGCUAUAUAUCCAAUGUAGAUAAUGAUAUAAAGACGACCGGCUGAUGAUGAUAAAUAACAAUAAUAUAAUCCAGUAUAAACCAAUCGGCUAGCAGUACAAUAUGAUAGAAUAAGCACUGAUCUGAAGGUUAAAGCAUGUAUCAGCUGAAGAUCCGAUGUCAUAAAAUCUAAACGAUUAGAUAAACAGUGAAACCUUUGUUGCAAUCGGCUAAAUCCAACUGGUAUGUAAUCCUUGUAAGCCGAUGCAACGUCCAGAUAACUUAUCGGCUAGCACCCCGAUAAAACAUUAGCAUGAACCUAUCGGCUUAACAAGAUUUAUAUUAUCAACAACAAUCUAGUAGGUUGAACCUAACCGAUGCAGCACAAGAUUGUAUAUGAUAAUCUAAUACUCGAUGAGCCGAUAGAUCUAUCUAAUGUGAUGGAUAUAACAAAUCUAUUUAUAACAGCGUUGCGAUUGUAGAGAUAUAUCGGCUUAGACAGAAGAUCAGACCUAACUGAGACUGUCCCAACUAAACCGAUGCGUCUCUAAACACAAUGCAAUUAAAGAUAGAAUUGAGAUAUCAGGUAGGCAAAUAUAUCAACCAAACCAGAGCGGUCCAAGAGAUCGAAGCGAUGCAGCCUUGAAUAACACCAAUGUAGCCAAUAGAUUCACCAGGGCUGGCGGAACGUAAGACUUACCCCUUCGCCGGAGAUCGAACUGAACCGAUGCAGCUCUGCGUUAGGUGCCAAAUUUCGCCGGAUGAUAAGUAAAAACCUCGGGAAAGAGGGUGGCGAUGCGCCGAGAGUAGUUAUAUUGAUCGAGAUUGAUAGAUUACAUUGACCCCGGGUGUACAAGUCCUUAUCGGACACUAAACACACUUUCGUAAAGAUAAAAGGAAACUAACAAACUAUUCCUAAUUAAUAGAUAAACUGCCAUGCCGUAUCCUUAUUGAACUCGGACUCUUCUGGAUAAAUUCCCUUUAAUUGAUCCGAUUCCAUCGAGAACACGGUUGCCAGCGAUUUGAUGACUCCCAUCGGUUGAUUCCAGGACUCUGAAGCCGAUAUUGACUCUAAACCGAUGAUAACUUUGGACUUACCAAAUUUCACUGUUAACGAAUGCACGCAGAUUGAUAGGUAAGGGUUCGGAACUUCGGAUGCAUGCAUGUAAUAGUCAAAUACAGAUGGGUGGGUCAAGGUUGCAUUUUUCGUUCAAAAACAAAACAGCAAACAAAUUUGACUGUGCGCCUAAUUUUGUUGGACAUAAAAAAAAAGUUUCUGAGCCCUCUGAUUAGGGACGGAGGGAAAAUUAAAGUUGUCUGCAAAGUUUGAAACUAUACCAAUGGUUGUGACGGUAGGAACGACUAUUCUCUCCGUCCAAAAAAAAAAAAACUCAACCUAGUAUUGGAUGGGACAUUUUCUACUACAACAAAUCUGGACAGGAGUAUGUCUAAAUUCGAUAUACUAGAAAACAUCACAUCCAAUACUAGGUUGAGUUUUUUUUGGGACGGAGGGAGUACACCGAUAGGGACAUAGGGAAAUAUUUUGUCUACUUGUAGUUCAAAUUUAAUUUUUUGAAAUGAAGUGUCUCAUAUUGAUCUAUAUAUCACGUUAAUUUUUUAAUAAAUUUUACAAAAAAAUAAUGAUAGGAAAAAAUAAAAGGCUUUAUUAGUUUAAUCCCCAUUAAAAAACGGAUUCAAGAGAAUUAAGGGGAAAUAAUUUUACAUCAUAAUAAUGCAGAAUUAAUUAAUCCUCUCUAAAUUCCUCCAAUCCCUUUGGAUGGAUUUAAACGAACACGCAUGGUUUGCCUGGUGGUUGAUCUCGACGUUCCUGGCAUACUAUUCUCACAAUUUCCCACGAUAAAAGCAAAUUAAGAUCGAGCUACUCUACUACAUGUUAAUUACAGAUGUGUCACUCUCAAAAGGAAAUUAAAGCCAGCAUAGCAAGCUAAUUUAGUUAAUGACAUUAAUUUGGGCCAAACGACUAGUGAUAUAUAUACUUAAUUUGCAAAUGGCAUUAUUUCACUCGAUCGGUUCACAUGCAUGCACCCAUGUGAUCUAGCGGCCCCGGCAUCCUCGCUGUCAGAUCUGGUGGCGCCGUGGCGGCGGCGGCGCUAGGGUUGCCGGACGCGCGUGGAGCUUUUGCUUUUCUUCCGGCUCUAGAGCACGCGCGAGAAAAUCUGGGGAAAUGGCGCCAACCACGAAAUUCGCCCGCGCAAACGGAAGUUGAAUGGGUUUCCGGUUCAGCAGCAUCGUUACCGUGUGGUUCGUUUCUUACACACGGUAUGCCGGCCCCUGAUGUUACCGUGGAUACCCACGGUAAGUUACCGUGUGUCUUAUGAAACACCCGGUAACAUUUAGCAACACACGGGAGCCUUCCACUUCCCGUCUCGGUGCGAUCGCUCGAGAGCUAGCUAGUUUUUUUUUUUUUGAGCUCUCCACUAUGAGUACAAGCUGUAGUAUCUGAACAUACGUGCAAACGCACUCCACCACGCACACACACUCCACACACACAGACCCCUACACGCAUGCCACUCCACACACACAGACCCCUACACGCAUGCUAGACCUAUCAACUAUACACACGCGUGCUAAUGAGAUACAUAAAGCCACCUAAGGACCUUGUGCGUGACGAGGACGUCACUCUACUAUCGUGGCGCUGGCACGGGAGAGCUAGAAAUUUAUUUGGGAAUAAAUCCCGGUGAGACGCGCGGGUGACGAUCCCAGGGAUCGAACCCGCGCGGGCUGCUCGCUCACCAGCGAUGCUAACCAACCGAGCAAUGCUCGGUUCUCG
rnacentral:lncRNA from 1 species